GGUUAAGCGACUAAGCGUACACGGUGGAUGCCCUGGCAGUCAGAGGCGAUGAAGGACGUGCUAAUCUGCGAUAAGCGUCGGUAAGGUGAUAUGAACCGUUAUAACCGGCGAUUUCCGAAUGGGGAAACCCAGUGUGUUUCGACACACUAUCAUUAACUGAAUCCAUAGGUUAAUGAGGCGAACCGGGGGAACUGAAACAUCUAAGUACCCCGAGGAAAAGAAAUCAACCGAGAUUCCCCCAGUAGCGGCGAGCGAACGGGGAGCAGCCCAGAGCCUGAAUCAGUAUGUGUGUUAGUGGAAGCGUCUGGAAAGGCGCGCGAUACAGGGUGACAGCCCCGUACACAAAAAUGCACAUGCUGUGAGCUCGAUGAGUAGGGCGGGACACGUGGUAUCCUGUCUGAAUAUGGGGGGACCAUCCUCCAAGGCUAAAUACUCCUGACUGACCGAUAGUGAACCAGUACCGUGAGGGAAAGGCGAAAAGAACCCCGGCGAGGGGAGUGAAAAAGAACCUGAAACCGUGUACGUACAAGCAGUGGGAGCACGCUUAGGCGUGUGACUGCGUACCUUUUGUAUAAUGGGUCAGCGACUUAUAUUCUGUAGCAAGGUUAACCGAAUAGGGGAGCCGAAGGGAAACCGAGUCUUAACUGGGCGUUAAGUUGCAGGGUAUAGACCCGAAACCCGGUGAUCUAGCCAUGGGCAGGUUGAAGGUUGGGUAACACUAACUGGAGGACCGAACCGACUAAUGUUGAAAAAUUAGCGGAUGACUUGUGGCUGGGGGUGAAAGGCCAAUCAAACCGGGAGAUAGCUGGUUCUCCCCGAAAGCUAUUUAGGUAGCGCCUCGUGAAUUCAUCUCCGGGGGUAGAGCACUGUUUCGGCAAGGGGGUCAUCCCGACUUACCAACCCGAUGCAAACUGCGAAUACCGGAGAAUGUUAUCACGGGAGACACACGGCGGGUGCUAACGUCCGUCGUGAAGAGGGAAACAACCCAGACCGCCAGCUAAGGUCCCAAAGUCAUGGUUAAGUGGGAAACGAUGUGGGAAGGCCCAGACAGCCAGGAUGUUGGCUUAGAAGCAGCCAUCAUUUAAAGAAAGCGUAAUAGCUCACUGGUCGAGUCGGCCUGCGCGGAAGAUGUAACGGGGCUAAACCAUGCACCGAAGCUGCGGCAGCGACACUAUGUGUUGUUGGGUAGGGGAGCGUUCUGUAAGCCUGUGAAGGUGUGCUGUGAGGCAUGCUGGAGGUAUCAGAAGUGCGAAUGCUGACAUAAGUAACGAUAAAGCGGGUGAAAAGCCCGCUCGCCGGAAGACCAAGGGUUCCUGUCCAACGUUAAUCGGGGCAGGGUGAGUCGACCCCUAAGGCGAGGCCGAAAGGCGUAGUCGAUGGGAAACAGGUUAAUAUUCCUGUACUUGGUGUUACUGCGAAGGGGGGACGGAGAAGGCUAUGUUGGCCGGGCGACGGUUGUCCCGGUUUAAGCGUGUAGGCUGGUUUUCCAGGCAAAUCCGGAAAAUCAAGGCUGAGGCGUGAUGACGAGGCACUACGGUGCUGAAGCAACAAAUGCCCUGCUUCCAGGAAAAGCCUCUAAGCAUCAGGUAACAUCAAAUCGUACCCCAAACCGACACAGGUGGUCAGGUAGAGAAUACCAAGGCGCUUGAGAGAACUCGGGUGAAGGAACUAGGCAAAAUGGUGCCGUAACUUCGGGAGAAGGCACGCUGAUAUGUAGGUGAGGUCCCUCGCGGAUGGAGCUGAAAUCAGUCGAAGAUACCAGCUGGCUGCAACUGUUUAUUAAAAACACAGCACUGUGCAAACACGAAAGUGGACGUAUACGGUGUGACGCCUGCCCGGUGCCGGAAGGUUAAUUGAUGGGGUUAGCGCAAGCGAAGCUCUUGAUCGAAGCCCCGGUAAACGGCGGCCGUAACUAUAACGGUCCUAAGGUAGCGAAAUUCCUUGUCGGGUAAGUUCCGACCUGCACGAAUGGCGUAAUGAUGGCCAGGCUGUCUCCACCCGAGACUCAGUGAAAUUGAACUCGCUGUGAAGAUGCAGUGUACCCGCGGCAAGACGGAAAGACCCCGUGAACCUUUACUAUAGCUUGACACUGAACAUUGAGCCUUGAUGUGUAGGAUAGGUGGGAGGCUUAGAAGUGUGGACGCCAGUCUGCAUGGAGCCGACCUUGAAAUACCACCCUUUAAUGUUUGAUGUUCUAACGUUGACCCGUAAUCCGGGUUGCGGACAGUGUCUGGUGGGUAGUUUGACUGGGGCGGUCUCCUCCUAAAGAGUAACGGAGGAGCACGAAGGUUGGCUAAUCCUGGUCGGACAUCAGGAGGUUAGUGCAAUGGCAUAAGCCAGCUUGACUGCGAGCGUGACGGCGCGAGCAGGUGCGAAAGCAGGUCAUAGUGAUCCGGUGGUUCUGAAUGGAAGGGCCAUCGCUCAACGGAUAAAAGGUACUCCGGGGAUAACAGGCUGAUACCGCCCAAGAGUUCAUAUCGACGGCGGUGUUUGGCACCUCGAUGUCGGCUCAUCACAUCCUGGGGCUGAAGUAGGUCCCAAGGGUAUGGCUGUUCGCCAUUUAAAGUGGUACGCGAGCUGGGUUUAGAACGUCGUGAGACAGUUCGGUCCCUAUCUGCCGUGGGCGCUGGAGAACUGAGGGGGGCUGCUCCUAGUACGAGAGGACCGGAGUGGACGCAUCACUGGUGUUCGGGUUGUCAUGCCAAUGGCACUGCCCGGUAGCUAAAUGCGGAAGAGAUAAGUGCUGAAAGCAUCUAAGCACGAAACUUGCCCCGAGAUGAGUUCUCCCUGACCCUUUAAGGGUCCUGAAGGAACGUUGAAGACGACGACGUUGAUAGGCCGGGUGUGUAAGCGCAGCGAUGCGUUGAGCUAACCGGUACUAAUGAACCGUGAGGCUUAACCUU
rnacentral:rRNA from 2 species